GCAAGCAGAACACAGGCUGGGGAAAUGAACACCAAAGGUUUUCCAAGAGAAGAUUCUAAGAAGUCGGCCUAGUGGGCAGCAAAUAAGAAGAUGCCCUACAACACAGGGCUCAGGGACCCAAGCUAAAUCUAGGAUCUUCUAGAAGUUAGAAAUGAGAGCAGAAAGGACAUGCAAAGAACAACCGUCAAUACUGACAGUCUGAAAUGCUGAGGCAGAGGGGAGACUCCGAACCCGAGUGGCCACAUAGACAAGUGUAUUUGGCACGAAACCAGCGUUAUGGACAAAUACGGGUUUUGAGGCCAGAGAGACCAGGCUCUGCUGCUUACUAGCUGACGGGCUCUCUGCACUGAGAAACGUGGGAAGAGCAACACUCCAGCAGCAUUCCGUGCACCUAGCGCUCAAAUCACAGUUUCUACGCUCCACUCUCUGUUAAAAGGAACAGGAUUCCCUGGAGAAAUGACUAAUUCCAGAGUUGGGGCAGGGAUAAGAAAAUGGGCCUGGGUCUUUCGUGUCAGAAAGUAAGGAAGCACUUUAAUAAUGGAAACAUGGCAAAAGGACAUGGAGACUUGCUUAAAAAAGCCAAACCUGAAACACUCUGAGCAUCAAAAUAAAUAAUGAUAGUGAAAAGUUAUAACCCAUUGAACAACAUAGGAACCUACGAGCACACACUAAUACAAAUAAAUGAAUGAAAAAAGAAAUGAGACA